GACACAAAUGCUCACUGGGAUGUCAUUCCAUUGUACUACAAUAAAGUAACUAGAAGUAGUACAAGUCAUGACAUCAGAGUGGGCAUUUGGUU
rnacentral:pre_miRNA from 1 species